CAAAGUACUAGAAAAAUGGUUAAUUUGCUGAGGAAUCCGUUUGCACUCAGGCAUAAAAAAAAACAGUCUCAGUUGUCUCUUGCCAAUGGCAGUCAUCAGAAAUUUGAAAAGAGAAAAGAGUGUUGAAAACAUAGCUAACUCUACCAAACUCGUUCAGAGAAAUAAAGCUAUCAAAAGGCAAAGCUAGAUCAUGCAAAAUCAAGACAUGGAUACAAGUGUUAAAAAGAACACUACCAAUCUGAUUCAGGAAAACCAAAGCGAUCAAAGAGGCAAAAGCUAGAUUAUGACCUAACAAUGGAAAAUGCCUCCUCUUGCUCUGAAUGGAUCAAAAGAGCGAUAAAAAGCAUGAGAGGAG